rnacentral:rRNA from 1 species
UACGUAGGUGGCAAGCAUUGUCCGGAGUUACUGGGCGUAAAGGGCGUGUAGGCGGCUUGUUAAGUUAGAUGUGAAAACCCAGGGCUUAACCCUGGACCUGCAUUUAAAACUGGCUGGCUUGAGGACCGGAGAGGGCAGUGGAAUUCCUAGUGUAGCGGUGAAAUGCGUAGAUAUUAGGAGGAACACCAGUGGCGAAGGCGACUGCCUGGACGGCACCUGACGCUGAGGCGCGAAAGCUAGGGGAGCAAACGGG